rnacentral:ncRNA from 1 species
CAAAAGCUUGGUCCUAGCUUUACUAUCAACUUUGAUUAAAUUUAUACAUGCAAGUCUCCGCACCCCUGUGAGAAUGCCCUAUUAAUCCCACCCCUGGGAGAAAGGAGCUGGUAUCAGGCACAACCCUAGUUAGCCCACAACACCUUGCUUAGCCACACCCCCAAGGGACCCCAGCAGUAAUAAACAUUAAGCCCUAAGUGAAAACUUGACUUAGUUAAUAUCAAGAGGGUCGGUUAAACUCGUGCCAGCCACCGCGGUUAUACGAGGGACCCAAGUUGAAAGAAUCCGGCGUAAAGCGUGAUUAAUAGCACACAACCACUAAAGUCGAACUCCUUCAAGGCUGUCAUACGCCCCCGAAGGGUGGAAGUCCUACAACGAAAGUAACUUUAAACUAUAUGAACCCACGAAAGCUAAGAAACAAACUGGGAUUAGAUACCCCACUAUGCCUAGCCCUAAACUAAAGCAGUACUACACUUUCCAUACUCGCCAGGGAACAACGAGCCACGGCUUAAAACCCAAAGGACUUGGCGGUGCUUUAAACCCCCCUAGAGGAGCCUGUUCUAGAAUCGAUAAUCCCCGUUAAACCUCACCCUCUCUUGUCUUUCCCGCCUAUAUACCGCCGUCGUCAGCUUACCCUGUGAAGGUUUUAUAGUAAGCAAAAUUGGCACAGCCCAACACGUCAGGUCAAGGUGUAGCGUACGAGAGGGGAAGAAAUGGGCUACAUUUACUGACCCAGUAAAAACGAACCUUGCACUGAAACAAGCAUGCGAAGGAGGAUUUAGCAGUAAGUUAAGGGAAUAGAGCGCCCUUCUGAAAACGGCCCUAAAGCGCGCACACACCGCCCGUCACUCUCCCCCACAACCCCAACUUGAAUAGAUAAAAUGUUAAAGGAAAUUCUUAGGGGAGGCAAGUCGUAACAUGGUAAGUGUACCGGAAGGUGUGCUUGGAAAAACUCU